rnacentral:misc_RNA from 1 species
AAAGAACAAGAAAAAGAAGAAGAGGAAGAAAUUAAUACCUUGCCUAAGGAGCAACAGAUAUGUACAGUUUCUAGAGCUCUUUUCAUCAUUCAAAUGAAGCAUUCUCAGAGAGUUUCGUCUCCACUGAAGAAAUUCACCAGACCAAAAAAUUUGGUGGCGUACACGGGAAAGCCAGGCAAUUCUUGUCCUUCUAGUUCUUGUUCUUGUUCUUGUUCU